rnacentral:lncRNA from 1 species
CACCCUCAGAAGAAGUCAGAGCCCCAGAGGCCGGACAACUUACAGCUUAAUGGCUUUACUUUUAGAAAAACUAACAUCCUUCCAAUCAUAUAUUUCUUAGCCAUCAGAAAAGAAAUAAGAAAUCAAAGUUUAAAAUUUUAGACUGGUUUCAAUUUUUGGAUAUAAAAAGAAGUUUUCUGGAAAAUUCUGUCUUUCAGGUAACCAGAGAGAGAGGGUGGAAGGUUAAACUGCUGGAAGAGGACUGAGGCUAAAUAAAGGUGCUGCAUGAGUGAGGCCUUAUUGGGGCAAACUGAACAAGGACCAACUGUGUUCUACCUGCAUCUCUGCUUCCUCGCUGAUUUACAGAAUGAGAUUCCCACAAAUUCUCAAGCAAAUGCAACUCACUAAAGUGUUCUAGAUCAAAGAGGCUCAGGAAGACGUGUUUCAAGUUUCUGACAUAAAAAAUAUAAAUUUUCAGAAAAGCCCUGGUAAGUUUCUAAUUAUUGGUUUAUUUAAGCAACUCUCAUUAAA